rnacentral:lncRNA from 1 species
CUACUAAAGUGGCUACCACUGGAUUUUGCUGUCCAGCUUCCACAUUCUUUGCUAGAACACUUCUGAUGUAUUUUGCAAAAUUCUUCCUGCCUACAUCCCCAGAGCUAGGAUGGAGCACAUAUCCGGAAGACUCACCAGCUGCAUUCCUCAGCUUCUGAUCCAGCUGGAAAUUUUCAGAUCCUCUUGGAGCUAUGUCUUGCUUUUCAUACUUCCUCCUGGUUUGAAACCCUCGAGGCAGCAUUGUUGGAUUGUGUCAACAGAGUCUGCACAACUCAGGUCUACUUCAAAUGAUUUUACACAUAAAAAUACUUAUGACUACAAAAUAAACCUGUUAUAAUGAAAUGUCAUACUGGAAAUAGAAAUACUUCUCCUAUGGUUUUGCAUUAUAAUGAUGUGUACUUCUCUAAUAAAUGCAUUAUAC